GGGAUACAGGUCUCCGUAGGUGCACCUGCGGAGGGAUCAUUACACAAAUAUGAAGGCGGGCUGGAACCUCUCGGGGUUACAGCCUUGCUGAAUUAUUCACCCUUGUCUUUUGCGUACUUCUUGUUUCCUUGGUGGGUUCGCCCACCACUAGGACAAACAUAAACCUUUUGUAAUUGCAAUCAGCGUCAGUAACAAAUUAAUAAUUACAACUUUCAACAACGGAUCUCUUGGUUCUGGCAUCGAUGAAGAACGCAGCGAAAUGCGAUAAGUAGUGUGAAUUGCAGAAUUCAGUGAAUCAUCGAAUCUUUGAACGCACAUUGCGCCCUUUGGUAUUCCAAAGGGCAUGCCUGUUCGAGCGUCAUUUGUACCCUCAAGCUUUGCUUGGUGUUGGGCGUCUUGUCUCUAGCUUUGCUGGAGACUCGCCUUAAAGUAAUUGGCAGCCGGCCUACUGGUUUCGGAGCGCAGCACAAGUCGCACUCUCUAUCAGCAAAGGUCUAGCAUCCAUUAAGCCUUUUUUUCAACUUUUGACCUCGGAUCAGGUAGGGAUACCCGCUGAACUUAAGCAUAUCAAUAAGCGGAGGAA
rnacentral:rRNA from 1 species